AAAAAAAGACUCGUGAGCAUCCGUCCAACCCGAGCAGAGCGGAUGUCUGUCCCGCGUCCCAUUGACAAUUCAAUCCCCACGCACCGUCCUCACCUCAACAGCUCUCGCCUCGCCAUGCCUCUCCCCGUCCUGCUCGCCCUGCUCUGCGCCCUACACGCUCCCGCGAGCUCCGCGUCCACGGAGACGUACUCCCUCUCGCCAGGCCAGUUGCUCGCCGGCGGCGACAAGCUCGUCUCCAGCGGCGGCAAGUUCGCGCUCGGCUUCAUCCAGAUCCCAGGCAGCGACAGCAAACCCUCCGGCUCCGGCGGCAACAGCACUCAGUUACGCAUAUGGUUCAACCGUGUUCCCAAGCUGACCUCGGUGUGGGUAGCCAACAGGGGAGGCAGCCCGGUGACAGGCGCCGCCUCCCCGGAGCUCACGAUCUCCGGCGACGGCAACCUCGUCAUCGUGGACCACGGCAAAGUCGCCUGGUCCACCCAAGCCGCCGCCACAGCCAGCAACAACAGGACGGUCCUCCUUCUCCUGGACACCGGGAACCUCGUCCUGCGCAGCGCCUCCGACGUGCUGUGGCAGAGCUUCGACCACCCCACGGACACUCUGCUCCCCGGCGCCACCAUCGGGCUGGACAAGGUCACCGGCCGGAGCCGCCGCCUCGUCUCCAGCAAGAACCGGAUCGACCAGGCUCUGGGCCUCUACUCCAUGGAGCUGGGCCGCAGCGGCGUCGUCCAGAUGCUGUGGGACUCGUCCGUGCCGUACUGGUCCAGCGGGGAGUGGAACGGCGGGUACUUCAGCUCGGUGCCGGGGAUGACCGCCCGCCACCUGUUUGGCUUCACGUUCGUCAACGACGACCGGGAGGUGUCCUUCGCCUACCACCUGCUCGACGAAACGAUCACCAUGUACAGCUUCCUGGACGUGUCCGGGCAGAGGAAGGUGUUGGCCUGGCACGAGGCUACGCAGAACUGGGCGACGGUCUACACCCACCCCACCGCGCAGUGCGAGGUACACGCCGCCUGCGGGCCAUUUACGGUCUGCGACGACAACGCGCCGACGCGGUGCAGCUGCAUGAAGGGAUUCUCCGUGGGUUCGCCUGAGGAUUGGGACCUUGAUGAUCGGAGCACGAGCGGAUGCAGGAGGAACACUCAGCUGAAUUGUGCUAGCAUUAGCAGCGGCACCAUGGUUGGCAUGGCUGACAUGUUCUACGCCAUGCCGUCCGUCAGAUUGCCCUAUAAUCCCCACAGCGCCGUUGGACAUGUCGCCAGCGCAGUCGAAUGCGAGCAGGUCUGUCUGAGCAACUGCUCUUGCAGUGCAUAUACCUUUGGAAGUGGUGGCUGUUCUAUGUGGCAUGGUGGAUUGCUGAAUGUAAAACAACACCACCAGAUUGAUGGUGCUUCCAGCGGUGAUGGCGAAAUUCUUCACAUCCGCCUCGCGGCAAAAGAGUUCCGGACUCGGAAAAACAACAAUGUAGUUAUCAUUUUAGGUGCCAUUGGUGCAGGCCUCAACGCUCUGGGUAUCUUGGUACUCAUCGUAGUGCUACGCAGGACCAGGAGGAACAAAAGGUACAGUGAAACAUUAGACAAAAUCCAUGGUGGUAGUGGGCUUGUUUCAUUCAGAUACAGCGAUUUGCGGCGUGCAACUAGAGAUUUCUCGGAGAAGAUUGGGGCAGGUGGUUUUGGUUCUGUGUUCAAGGGGUCACUAAAUGAUUCGACCACUAUAGCCGUGAAAAGGCUUCACGGUUGUUAUCAACAAGAGAAGCAAUUCAGGGCUGAGGUGAGUUCAAUUGGAAUCCUCCACCAUACAAAUUUAGUCAAAAUAGUUGGUUUUUGUUGUGAGGGCGACAAGAAGCUUCUUGUCUAUGAACACAUGCCAAAUAGUUCCCUUGAUGCCCAUCUGUUCAGGAGCAGUGCCAAAACUCUGAAUUGGAGAACCAGAUACCAAAUAGCUCUUGGAGUUGCGAGGGGGCUGGCAUACUUGCACGAGAGCUGCCUGGACUACAUCAUACACUGUGAUAUAAAGCCGCAAAACAUACUUCUGGACGCAUUGUUUGUUCCUAAGAUUGCUGACUUUGGGAUGGCAAAGCUUCUGACAAGGGAUUUUAGCCGGGUCAUGACCACAACCAGGGGCACAAUUGGGUACCUUGCCCCUGAAUGGAUCAGUGGAGUGGCUAUCACACCCAAAGUCGAUGUGUAUGGAUAUGGGAUGGUGCUACUGGAGAUCAUAUCGGGGAGGAUGAACGCGAACGGAGAAUGCGGCAGCAGUGGUGAUGGCAUUGUUUAUUUCCCCAUCCAGGUGGCACGCAAGCUUCUCGAGGGAAAUGUCACGAGCUUCGUGGAUGAUAGGUUAAACGGUGAUGUCAUCAUCGACGAGGUUGAAAGGGCUUGCAAGGUUGCCUGUUGGUGCAUUCAGGACAGGGAGUUUGAACGGCCAACGAUGGGCAAGGUAGUCCAGAUUCUUGAGGGUCUUGUUGAAGUCGACACCCCUCCGAUGCCUAAGCUACUUGAAGCUAUCGCCGGAAGAUCAAAUUCAGCAUGCACCUGACCUGAGUGGAACUUGUCUGUUGAGCUUGCACUUCUGUUGCUACUACAGUCUAAUGGAGCAUUUCUCAAGCACCCGCUGGUUCGAUCAUCUAGCUCCCAGUCCUCUGGUGAUCUCACGGUGAAGCCCUUCAUACAAUUUCAAGAUGGCAGCAUGUUAUAAUUGCAAUUUGAACCCUGAUGUCCCGGCCCCACCAGUCAGGGCCACAUGGCAAGUGGGAGACGGCGACCGCGAACGGCCGUUAACGGUGGCUUGCAUUCACCUGGUCUAACAUAUAUGUCCAUGUACCAGUCUCGAAGAAGCCAAGCGCGUACCUGUCGUUCCGGGAGACGAGCUUGUUGCCGCUGCCAAGUGGUUGGCGAGCUGAGAUGGUGUCUGUCGUAGCAGAGCUUGUCACACCGAUGUGUAGGUGGAAGAUUGCGGUGAAAACAAAGAUGAGGAGAAGGCGAGCUUGCAGUUGCAGAGAGAGACUGCAGAUGUAGCAGGAACGUAGGUGGUUCUUGCCAGAAAAGCAUUGUGAAGUUAAGUAGCUAUUCAAGUACAACCAUCAAAUUAACUAGUGGAGGGAAAAGAUGUUCCAUUGGCGAUCUA